GACGAACGCUGGCGGCGUGCCUAAUACAUGCAAGUCGAACGAAGCUGUUUUAACUGGUGCUUGCACCGACUUAAACAACUGAGUGGCGAACGGGUGAGUAACACGUGGGUAACCUGCCCCAAAGCGGGGGAUAACAUUUGGAAACAGAUGCUAAUACCGCAUAACCACAGAAACCACAUGGUUUCUGUGUCAAAGAUGGUUUCGGCUAUCACUUUGGGAUGGACCCGCGGCGUAUUAGCUAGUUGGUAAGGUAAUGGCUUACCAAGGCAAUGAGACGUAGCCGAACUGAGAGGUUGAUCGGCCACAUUGGGACUGAGACACGGACCAAACUCCUACGGGAGGCAGCAGUAGGGAGUCUUCCACAAUGGACGAAAGUCUGAUGGAGCAACGCCGCGUGAGUGAAGAAGGUUUUCGGAUCGUAAAACUCUGUUGUCAGAGAAGAACGUGUGCGAGAGUAACUGUUCGUGCAGUGACGGUAUCUGGCCAGAAAGCCACGGCUAACUACGUGCCAGCAGCCGCCGUAA
rnacentral:rRNA from 1 species